CGGCAGCGGUGUUACACCGUAUUCUGCAAUGGAAGUUCAGGGGAAACUUUCAACGGAAGAAAACCAGACUUUUAAAUAUUAAAUUUUAUAAAUGUAUAAACGGAGUUGUUCGGUUUAAGGGUGCACCAAACUGAAUCCUGAACAAAACCGUUUGGUGAAUACAUAUUUACACGUUAGCUUCCAAUCAGCUGACAACAAUGAAAGUAGCUAGCUAGUUAGCCAUAAGCUCGUUGUCACGGAGUAAAAGAUGGACCAGCAUUGCGUCUCACCAACUGGGUCAUUCUUCAUUUGCGGUGGCAAGUGGUGUCCCUCUACCUUGCAACAUUUGAAAAACUUUUUUGUUUUAAAAUACAUAUUUGAGUUUGAGAGACUGCAUGUGUAACAAAAUAUGCAUGUUCCCCCCAUACCUCAGAGAGGUAUCAUGGAAUGUAAUUGCAACAAUAUAAAAUUAAAGUGGUUAUAAUAUAGAUUUUAUUGCACAUGUACAAUUUAAUUAAAUUGUUUUAAAAAAUACAUAUUUUGUUAUUUAAAGAAAAGUUGUGUCCCCCAAAUUCAUGUCUGUGGUGUUACAACAAUGGAUGUCGCCCCUUUAAGAAAAGGGGGAAGUGUUUUUGAACUACUUCCUGUGUGUAAAGGUCAUUGCAGGUGCUGCUUGUUCUGAGGAGUGCAUGGCAAAAAAUCCAUGAAAAAAAGAAAAUCCACCGAGAGAGAAGGCAAUGCUACAGACAACUGAAAAAGCUGCAACAAUCUUUUUGAUUGUAAUCUUACUUGGAUAAAUUUCAUGAUUGUUCAAGAUUAUUUUCAUUUCAGUUUUAUUUUUUAAUACUGUUUUUCUCUAAAUGUUGUUGUUUUAUCAGAGUAGAUUCUUCUUUUAAUCUUACUCAUGAGGAAUUUCAUUAUUUUAUUCAAUAAAUGUUAAUUAUUACA